ensembl:snRNA U6 U6 spliceosomal RNA
GCGUUCACACUGGCAGCACAUGUACUAAAACUGGAACAAUACAGAGAAGAUUAGCACGGCCCCUGCACAAGGAUGACAGGCAAAUUCACGAAGCGUUCCACACUUAA